AGAAAGUUAGUUAAUUUAUAAUAUAAAAUUGUCAGUUUUAUGUAGCUAAUUUUGUUUUAGUACUUUCUG
rnacentral:tRNA from 1 species